rnacentral:rRNA from 1 species
GACGAACGCUGGCGGCGUGCUUAACACAUGCAAGUCGAACGGAAAGGCCCUGCUUUUGUGGGGUGCUCGAGUGGCGAACGGGUGAGUAACACGUGAGUAACCUGCCCUUGACUUUGGGAUAACUUCAGGAAACUGGGGCUAAUACCGGAUAGGAGCUCCUGCUGCAUGGUGGGGGUUGGAAAGUUUCGGCGGUUGGGGAUGGACUCGCGGCUUAUCAGCUUGUUGGUGGGGUAGUUGCUUACCAAGGCUUUGACGGGUAGCCGGCCUGAGAGGGUGACCGGCAACAUUGGGACUGAGAUACGGCCCAGACUCCUACGGGAGGCAGCAGUGGGGAAUAUUGCACAAUGGGCGGAAGCCUGAUGCAGCAACGCCGCGUGCGGGAUGACGGCCUUCAGGUUGUAAACCGCUUUCGCCUGUGACGAAGCGUGAGUGACGGUAAUGGGUAAAGAAGCACCGGCUAACUACGUG